GCCGGGGUUAGCGGAGAAAGCUGUAGGACCCUGGUUUAGCAACGAACCUACUUGAGGAAUUUUGCCUGUCAGGUUGGAUCACCAGAACUACAAC